AAAAAUCAAGACCAAGUAUUUCACGUAAUAAAUAGAUAGUAUGCCCACAAGGUUGUCUAUUUUUGAAUUACCUAAUAUUUGCAUAGUGAACAUAGGAAUCUUUAGCCAAAUUUACAGUUAGUUUAACUACUGACCAACUUAGUCUUAUUAUAUUAAUUUCAUGAGUAAGGAAAUUAAGUUCCAAACAGAUCAGAGUGUUCAAGUGAAAAAAUACUUGCAUUACUCGGUCAAUUUUUACUGUUUAAACCGUUUGGAAUCUAGUGGAUCAGAGUGUUGCUUUCCGUUGUAACAGACUUCAUUACAUCAGAAAUCGUACUCGUACUCGUUUUCAUCCUUUUAAGGAAGUUCAGACCCAGGAGAAUUUCCAUAAUACCUUAAUGAAAAAGAUAGAAAAGAUUUAACAGUGGGACGUGUCUUUCCUUUCAUCUCCUUUUCGCCUUGGAAAUCAGAAUGAGAAGGAUUGUCUUUGCUGGUGUGAUCUUAUUCUGCCUCUUAGGUGGUGGCAUUGAAUGGUAUUCAGUUAAAGGCUGCACAAAGAACAUAACAGAGUGCUUCAAGAGAACUAUCAAACGGCGUGAACUUGUAUCUACUCACUGCUGCCGUCGUCCUUUGUGUAAUUUCUGAGUCAGUGGCCCAUAUCUAAAAUGCUUGGCAGAUCAAUCAGUCUCGAAGCCUGACCUGGCUAUCACAAAAUGAUGGCUACUGUCAAUUAGCCCGCUUCAGAAACCUCAGACCCUUGUAGAUGGAAGGAAUUUUGGUCUGAAAUUGACUUUGGUUUUCAGUAUUCCCGAUGCCUCCCCCACCACCUCCAACUCAUCUGAGAAAUAUCCCUUUCAACACCAUUUCUCUCCUCUCCUCCUUCUGCUUAAUUUACCUUUCUACCACAAGGCUACAAAGAAGUGAAAAUGUUAAUGAUUCUCCAAGUCAAACUACGCACACGUCUCCUCUAACUACUUUUAUUUCCUCAUAUAAAAUCCUACAAAAUAUGGUUACAAAUGUUUCACAACACAGCAAGUGACCUGAGAAUAUUCAUUUGGUUUCCAAAGCAAACUGCCUUGCUCCUUUGGGGUGGUUUAUGGUAUAGAAGAAACUGAUUUAACAUAUACUAUAGGAAAAAAAAAAAAAAAGCCAUAAAUCAGCAAACCAGGCCUCUGAGGAAAGUAUGAACCCAAACAGGAAAGGGCUGAGGCAGGUUACGGUAGGGCUGGCCCUUAUUUCUUCCAUCUCCCUCAGAGUUUAUACAAAUUUUGAAUUUUCCACACCUAACCAUGCCUAAAUGCUUUGGCUUGUUCAAUUUUGGCAGAUUAAGCCGUUCAAGGUCAGCAGAGCAGUAAGUUCCCAACCACAGGGAAUUUAAAAGGAGUAGGGACGUGCUUUGAACUACAUUUCACAUUUUGUGAUCAUUACAUCUUCUAUUACAAUGCCCUACUUUGGCAGCAGGAAGAGUACUGCAUUUUACAAUUUCAUUUAAAACUCUCUUUCUCUGUAUUUUCAGAAGUUUGAAAAUUCAAAAAAUAAAUAAUAAAUGUCAAUAAAA